rnacentral:sRNA from 1 species
AUUGUUUUAAUUAUGGUGAAAGAGAUUUACCAUGAAGUUUAUGUGUUUAUUAGCCUUAUUUAUUUAUUCAUUUCACGACAGGAUUCUGCGAAUGUAAAAAAGGUUUCUUUGUGGACGGUAAUUCCCUGUGCCAGACUUUGAUUUUACCAAAGGAAAAAUGUACAGGUAUUGGUCAGUGUGUUGACAAUGCUGAGUGCUCGUCCCCGGUUCCUACUGGACUUUGUCUAUGUAACAAAGGAUAUUUUGCCAAAAACUCCCAAUGCAACCCAGUGAUCAAUGCCACCCGGCCCUGCGGUGGUCCUGGGGAGUGUGUAGACAAUGCAAUGUGCAACAACGCCACGGCCAUAUGCGAAUGUCUCCGAGGAUAUUACACUG